GUGGUAGGAGAGCGUUCUAUUUGCGUCGAAGGUAUACCGGUAAGGAGUGCUGGAGCGAAUAGAAGUGAGCAUGCAGGCAUGAGUAGCGAUAAUUAAUGUGAGAAUCAUUAACGCCGUAAACCCAAGGUUUCCUACGCGAUGCUCGUCAUCGUAGGGUUAGUCGGGUCCUAAGUCGAGUCCGAAAGGGGUAGACGAUGGCAAAUUGGUUAAUAUUCCAAUACCAACAUUAGUGUGCGAUGGAAGGACGCUUAGGGCUAAGGGGGCUAGCGGAUGGAAGUGCUAGUCUAAGGUCGUAGGAGGUUAUACAGGCAAAUCCGUAUAACAAUACUCCGAGAACUGAAAGGCUUUUUGAAGUCUUCGGAUGGAUAGAAGAACCCCUGAUGCCGUCGAGCCAAGAAAAGUUUCUAAGUUUAGCUAAUGUUGCCCGUACCGUAAACCGACACAGGUGGGUGGGAUGAGUAUUCUAAGGCGCGUGGAAGAACUCUCUUUAAGGAACUCUGCAAAAUAGCACCGUAUCUUCGGUAUAAGGUGUGGUUAGCUUUGUAUUAGGAUUUACUCCGAAAGCAAGGAAACUUACAACAAAGAGUCCCUCCCGACUGUUUACCAAAAACACAGCACUCUGCUAACUCGUAAGAGGAUGUAUAGGGUGUGACGCCUGCCCGGUGCUCGAAGGUUAAUUGAUGGGGUUAGCAUUAGCGAAGCUCUUGAUCGAAGCCCGAGUAAACGGCGGCCGUAACUAUAACGGUCCUAAGGUAGCGAAAUUCCUUGUCGGUUAAAUACCGACCUGCAUGAAUGGCGUAACGAGAUGGGAGCUGUCUCAAAGAGGGAUCCAGUGAAAUUGUAGUGGAGGUGAAAAUUCCUCCUACCCGCGGCAAGACGGAAAGACCCCGUGGACCUUUACUACAGCUUGACACUGCUACUUGGAUAAGAAUGUGCAGGAUAGGUGGGAGGCUUUGAGUAUAUGACGCCAGUUGUAUAUGAGCCAUUGUUGAGAUACCACUCUUUCUUAUUUGGGUAGCUAACCAGCUUGAGUUAUCCUCAAGUGGGACAAUGUCUGGUGGGUAGUUUGACUGGGGCGGUCGCCUCCCAAAUAAUAACGGAGGCUUACAAAGGUUGGCUCAGAACGGUUGGAAAUCGUUCGUAGAGUAUAAAGGUAUAAGCCAGCUUAACUGCAAGACAUACAAGUCAAGCAGAGACGAAAGUCGGUCUUAGUGAUCCGGUGGUUCUGUGUGGAAGGGCCAUCGCUCAAAGGAUAAAAGGUACCCCGGGGAUAACAGGCUGAUCUCCCCCAAGAGCUCACAUCGACGGGGAGGUUUGGCACCUCGAUGUCGGCUCAUCGCAUCCUGGGGCUGGAGCAGGUCCCAAGGGUAUGGCUGUUCGCCAUUUAAAGCGGUACGCGAGCUGGGUUCAGAACGUCGUGAGACAGUUCGGUCCCUAUCUGCCGUGGGCGUAAGAAGAUUGAAGAGAUUUGACCCUAGUACGAGAGGACCGGGUUGAACAAACCACUGGUGUAGCUGUUGUUCUGCCAAGAGCAUCGCAGCGUAGCUAAGUUUGGAAAGGAUAAACGCUGAAAGCAUC
rnacentral:rRNA from 1 species